rnacentral:rRNA from 1 species
GAUGAACGCUGGCGGCGUGCUUAACACAUGCAAGUCGAACGAUGAAGCCCAGCUUGCUGGGUGGAUUAGUGGCGAACGGGUGAGUAACACGUGAGUAACCUGCCCUUGACUCUGGGAUAAGCCUGGGAAACUGGGUCUAAUACUGGAUAUGACUUCUCAUCGCAUGGUGGGGGGUGGAAAGAUUUAUUGGUCUUGGAUGGACUCGCGGCCUAUCAGCUUGUCGGUGAGGUAAUGGCUCACCAAGGCGACGACGGGUAGCCGGCCUGAGAGGGUGACCGGCCACACUGGGACUGAGACACGGCCCAGACUCCUACGGGAGGCAGCAGUGGGGAAUAUUGCACAAUGGGCGCAAGCCUGAUGCAGCGACGCCGCGUGAGGGAUGACGGCCUUCGGGUUGUAAACCUCUUUCAGUAGGGAAGAAGCGAGAGUGACGGUACCUGCAGAAGAAGCGCCGGCUAACUACGU